rnacentral:lncRNA from 1 species
GGUAGUAAGAUGGUAUCUUUGGUAUUUUGAAGUGGCAAGGGUGCUGUGGUUAGUGUGUAUUGAUGCAAAAAAAAAUCAAUUGUUAAAGUUGUACAGAACUUUUUUUGGUCACAUUCGCUACCAUUAUUGAAUUUGAUUUAUUUUAAGAAAGAAUUUAUUAAUGAUGGGUAUAUGAAAAUUUAGGAUGUGUGUCUUCUCCAAUCAUUCAUUGUAGAUUCACAUGAAAGAUCAUCUCACAGGAAGAAAAGUAUGUUUAAUU